GCCGUUUUGUGUACUAACAACAAUACUAGUCACAAUUUCUUUAUUUUCUUCUUUUUCUUAUGUCUAUGAUGCAACAAUUUACAUUAAUUGGAAGUUCAGCACUCUGCACUGAAGACUAGAGUUUGUGAAACAUAAUUUCUCUGUAUGCAUAUUGGGGUUCAAUAUGUUUUCAAUACCAUAUAGAAAUGAAGUCACUUCCUACUCAAUGUAUCAUGGUUCACUUCCUACCUUAAAAUUCAUCAAUAUUUUCCUGUUAUUUUACUGAGUAGGUCAAGGUUUAAGUGUAUUUUGUGCCAAUGCUAUACAUUUGAGUUAAAAACUGGACUAUAGUUACUGAUUGAUAUAUGUAAUAAUGUCU
rnacentral:misc_RNA from 1 species